rnacentral:rRNA from 1 species
GACGAACGCUGGCGGCGCGCUUAACACAUGCAAGUCGAGCGGUAAGGCCCUUUCGGGGGGUACACGAGCGGCGAACGGGUGAGUAACACGUGGGUGACCUGCCUUUAGCUCUGGGAUAAGCCUGGGAAACUGGGUCUAAUACCGGGAUAUGACCCUAUGGCGCAUGUUGUGGGGUGGAAAGCCUUGUGCGGCUAGGGAUGGGGCCCGCGGCCUAUCAGCUUGUUGGUGGGGUGAUGGCCUACCAAGGCGACGACGGGUAGCCGGCCUGAGAGGGCGACCGGCCACACUGGGACUGAGACACGGCCCAGACUCCUACGGGAGGCAGCAGGUGGGGAAUCUUGCGCAAUGGGCGAAAGCCUGACGCAGCGACGCCGCGUGGA